UACGGGGGGGGCAAGCGUUGUUCGGAAUUACUGGGCGUAAAGGGCUCGUAGGUGGCCAACUAAGUCAUACGUGAAAUCCCUCGGCUUAACCGGGGAACGGCGUCUGAUACUGGAUGGCUUGAGUUUGGGAGAGGGAUGCGGAAUUCCAGGUGUAGCGGUGAAAUGCGUAGAUAUCUGGAGGAACACCGGUGGCGAAGGCGGCAUCCUGGACCAAUAUUGACGCUGAGGAGCGAAAGCUAGGGGAGCAAACGGG
rnacentral:rRNA from 1 species